GUGGGAUAACACAUCCCCUUCUUAAGUUUUACCAUUACAAUUUACUUUACAAGUUUGCAUCUCUCUAUUUCAGGUCAAAGGGAUUUACCCUUGCUUCCAACUUGUUGUUUGAUCAAUGUUGUAGGAUGAAAUGCAGCUUGGAUCAUGGAAAGAAGAUGCUUGAAUAAGGAAAGAAGGAAGAAGAAGACCAAAGAUGGGCACCAUUUGCAUGAUGAAGAAAAUGUGGACCAAUGCUGGACAAUUUGAGCAUUGUUUAAGUUUUGUAUUUAUAAUAAAUGGAGAGACAAAAGGUGUAACAAGAAAUAGGGUUUUCCGAUUACCUUGAGCAGCUCCUCUUUCUUACCGUUGUUACAAAACCCUCUUUUUUGAUGUAAUCCUUUUGUUCUUGAUAGAUUCUGUAAUUAAACCUAUGUUUAAUCUUAUGCCUAAUUCGUUCUC